AUUUCAAUCGUUCCUCCUGUAUUCUAGAUUAUCACCAGUGCUACUACUGUGAAACGAAAGUCAACGACUACACAUGUAAAAACGACUUAGUAAAUAACCACGAGCCAAUAGCGUGCCUCACUGGACAUUCUGGAUGUGGUACUAGAACUGUAGCCUACAACACAUGGCUGUUCACCGAUGAUGCCGAAAGAUACUGUACUGACGAAGAAACUACCGACGCCGAUGGUGAUUGCACGACCGAUAAUUCGGGAUUUGAGACCUGUCUCUACUACUGUUCCGGAAAUGCAUGCAAUGACAUUGAAAACAUUGCCAGUAGAUCCACUAUCCCAACCACAUUGAUAUUUACCUAGAUUAUAGCAUCCCUUGUACCCUGGUGAAAUCACUGCUAACCUGAGCGAUAAGCGAGUAACCUUAGUCGCUCUCAACACACAGUAGCAUAGAAAAGUCGCCUGGUUAUUUCCCCCGAUUAUUUUGUACUUGUUAAUUAGUUCGACUUGUAUACAGUCUCUUUUUUAAUUCUUGGUGAUUUUUUUUCAUUUAAAUAAAAUAUUAUGGGAGCGUGUAAACGGCGAAAGCCGGGUUACCGCCGCGAAAGCCUGCUUACCGAGAAAUAAACAAAAUAACCAUAAACAUCAUGAAUGUAUAUUUCGCAGUAACCCGGCGUUCGACAUUUAUAUACUCUCAUUAACAUACAAAUCAUUA
rnacentral:lncRNA from 1 species